ACAGCGGGAGCUAUUACACAAUAUGAGGCGGGCUGGACCUCUCGGGGUUACAGCCUUGCUGAAUUAUUCACCCUUGUCUUUUGCGUACUUCUUGUUUCCUUGGUGGGUUCGCCCACCACUAGGACAAACAUAAACCUUUUGUAAUUGCAAUCAGCGUCAGUAACAAAUUAAUAAUUACAACUUUCAACAACGGAUCUCUUGGUUCUGGCAUCGAUGAAGAACGCAGCGAAAUGCGAUAAGUAGUGUGAAUUGCAGAAUUCAGUGAAUCAUCGAAUCUUUGAACGCACAUUGCGCCCUUUGGUAUUCCAAAGGGCAUGCCUGUUCGAGCGUCAUUUGUACCCUCAAGCUUUGCUUGGUGUUGGGCGUCUUGUCUCUAGCUUUGCUGGAGACUCGCCUUAAAGUAAUUGGCAGCCGGCCUACUGGUUUCGGAGCGCAGCACAAGUCGCACUCUCUAUCAGCAAAGGUCUAGCAUCCAUUAAGCCUUUUUUUCAACUUUUGACCUCGGAUCAGGUAGGGAUACCCGCUGAACUUAAGCAUAUCAAUAAGCGGAGGAAUAC
rnacentral:rRNA from 1 species